GAGAGAGAGAGAGAGAGAGAGAGAGAGAGAGAGAAGGGGUGUGAGAGUGACAGAGAGUCGAGAGAAAGAGAGAGAGAGGGGCGUUGGUAUUUAACAUUUAUUUAUGCUUUUGAGGCGGGCAAAGGGCGUGAUUUGAAUUGAGAAAUGAUCGUGACCGUUGGAUUGACUAGGUAAUCGUUAGGAGCGGAUACAGAGUGGGCCCCACUGACUUCUUCUUUUUUGAAUUUGAGUUCAAAAUUCUAACGGUGAAUGACCAAUCCGAUUAAACUGCUGCCACGGUGUGCGUUUGUCCGUGCUUUGAAGAAACUAGAGUGGUCAGUCGUUUGACAUGAGCCACAACCUGUUAUUGUAGCCCUUAACUUUGAAUUCGAAUUUGAACGUUAUGUAGAUUUUGUCUGUAGUGUGUGACAUGAAACUAAUACCCACAUUAUCCUCGCGCCCAACCACCCAAUUUGUAAUUGGAAAAUGGAAAAUGAUAACCAAAAAAAAUCAUCUUUUAGGAGAUGUUAUAUUUUAAGGAUAUUAUAAUAUUGUGUUAUCCUUUAAAACGUCGUGUAAAUGGUACGUAGGGUGAAAGUAUCUAUUGAAAGUGCAAAUUUGCUCAAAAUCCAAAACGUGGAUCUCGUGUAUGGAUAUUGAUUUCCUAACUUUAAUAUUAGGAGACGUUUGGUAAUGCUUAAAAGCUAAGUUUUUUUUAAAUUUAGUAUCAAAAAGGUCAAGAGUUUUUGGCAUUUUUUGCUUUUGUGACUUUACUUUAGAUAAAAUUAAAAAAAAAUAAAAAACAAAAAACAAAAAAGCCAACUCUAAUUUUUUGUAAUGCUUAAAAGUCAAUUUUUUUUAAAUUUACUAACAAAAAGGUCAAGAAUUUUUGACAUUUUUGCUUUUGUGACUUUACUUUAGCUAAAAUUAAAAAAACAAAAAAAACAAGUAUAAUUGAUUUUUUUUACUUAUUUUAAGUAAAAAAAUAAAAAAAAAUAAAAAAAUGCUGUCAAACGAAGCCUCAGUCACAAAUAUUGUUAUGCUCAUGACUUCCAAUCAUAAGAGCAUCGCUAUCAAUUAUUUUUGGGCAAAAUCGGUAGCUAAUUGUUGAAAACAGCCCUCCAAGCAUCGCCUCUCCCUUGCCAAUUUGGUUUUGAGCUAUAAUUCUUGGCCAUUCUUGGCGAAGUACUGUAGCUGCUUGUUUCAACAAGUUUAUUCUUCUGAAGAACCAUGGUUGACGUUGAUUUUCCGAUGAAACUCACUCUUCGAAUCCCCAGCUUCACCCAAAUUAUUUCGAUAUCGGUGCCAAACGAAACCAUGGUGUUGCAUUUGGAUUGGCUGAGUGUGGGGUGAAAGGAUUGGAUGGACCUCACACCCAGUCAAUCCAAAUGCAAUACCUCAUUAAGUAUGCAUUUGGAGUGCACUAUGAUUAUACCCAUAGCAUUACCUAUUUUUCAACAGGCACAACCUUUUUCUCCACGCAGCUCUGGUACUAUCCAGGAAGAUACCGAGUUCUCUUCGAGGCAGAAACGUAAGCCACAAUAUAAGACUAAAUAGAUAUUUCUCCAUUUGAUGCAAAAUUUAGAUAUUCCAUAUGAGGGGCUGUUUGUUCAGCCAACAACCUCUUACAUGACAACUUAGAUAAAUGCAAGGAUCUCAACCUCAAUGGUGCUUCUUUUCUUCUCAAGGUCUAAGUCGCUCUUUAAUUACACAUAUAAAAAUAUAACUACACUUGCACGAAUCUCCCCUAAGGUUUCUAAUACAUGGAUCUCAUCUACCAUGAUGGCUUUAAAAUUACAUUAGCUCUUCUGUUAGUGAUAAUUCAUUUUUUCACUUCCACUUUCCUUUAUUUUAAAUUUCUAACAAUAUCAUUGAUUUUCAUCAAACCCAUCGAUGGUCCGGAACUCCUAACAAAAAAUAAUUUAUUGAAUUAUUGCAGAAUGUGUUGGGAAAAUCUAGCUCCACCAUUUAUGCGAUUGCAUUACCAGCCUCAGGACAAUGUUCCACUAUCACAGGCACUUGUGCUGGACAAUUAAUCAUGCAGGUGGGGAAUAAUUUCUUGCAAAUUUUAUUAUUUCUUUUAAUUAAUUAAAUUUGAUCCAAGAUUAUUAAUGAGUUAAUUCGUGGUACAAUUUUUAGCGUUUCUUGGAUCUUAAGAUGAGAAAAUGGAUGAGGAACCUAAUGACCAGGUCCAUUGCCAUCACACCUAGUCUCAUUGUCUCAAUCAUCGGUGGAUCGUUGGCUGUUGACCGGCUAAUCCUCAUUGCAUCGGUUAGUUACUCGUCGAAUACUAAAUAAAAUUUAUAUUUAUAUUUAUUGUAAUUUAUAAUUGAUCAUUUUUUUUGUUUAAAUUGGUUUGUAGAUGAUACUAUCAUUUGAAAUUCUAUUUGCUCUCAUCCCACUCCUUAAAUUCAGUAGUAGUACCAACAAGAUGGGGCCACACAAGAAUUCAAUAUAUGUGAGUUGCAAUCUCAUUAUUAUUUUACCUUUGCAUUUAAUUUUUUUCUUCUUCAUCUAGCUU
rnacentral:lncRNA from 1 species